UCAGGCACCCAUGAAGCCACCCCUGCUUGUUUUGGUAGCUUUGGGCGAUCAACAGGAUGCCAACAUGAUAACUUUCACCGACGGUCGCAGUUCAGUCUGUAAAUGACUGUUGCUGCAACAUUAUGGGAAAGGAUAACU
ensembl:snoRNA small nucleolar RNA SNORA16B/SNORA16A family